rnacentral:rRNA from 1 species
UACGAAGGGGGCUAGCGUUGUUCGGAAUCACUGGGCGUAAAGCGCACGUAGGUGGACUUUCAAGUCAGGGGUGAAAUCCCGGGGCUCAACCUCGGAACUGCCUUUGAUACUGUUGGUCUUGAGUCCGGAAGAGGUGGGUGGAAUUCCUAGUGUAGAGGUGAAAUUCGUAGAUAUUCGCAAGAACACCAGUGGCGAAGGCGGCUCACUGGCCCGGUACUGACGCUGAGGUGCGAAAGCGUGGGGAGCAAACAGG